rnacentral:tRNA from 1 species
AAUCUUAUAUUCAUUGUAUGAUAGUAGACUGCAAUUCUAAAGGAGUAAAAUUUUACUAAGGUUU